rnacentral:rRNA from 1 species
UACGUAGGGUGCGAGCGUUAAUCGGAAUUACUGGGCGUAAAGCGUGCGUAGGCGGUUCUCCAAGUCCGUUGUGAAAGCCCCGGGCUCAACCUGGGAAUGGCAGUGGAAACUAGGGGACUGGAAUCUGGCAGAGGGGGGUGGAAUGCCGCGUGUAGCAGUGAAAUGCGUAGAGAUGCGGCGGAACACCGAUGGCGAAGGCAGCCCCCUGGGCUGAGAUUGGACGCUCAGGCACGAAAGCGUGGGGAGCAAACAGG